rnacentral:rRNA from 1 species
GAUGAACGCUGGCGGCGUGCCUAAUACAUGCAAGUCGAGCGGUAAGGCUUUCACUCUGUAUUUAAUGAGUUGAAUAUAGUGUGAAAGUACACGAGCGGCGGACGGCUGAGUAACGCGUAGGAACGUACCCCAAAGUGAGGGGAUAAGCACCGGAAACGGUGUCUAAUACCGCAUGUGAUCUUCGGAUUAAAGCUUUAUGCGCUUUGGGAGCGGCCUGCGUAAGAUUAGUUUGUUGGUGAGGUAAUGGCUCACCAAGACUACGAUCUUUAGCUGGUCUGAGAGGAUGAUCAGCCAGACUGGGACUGAGACACGGCCCAGACUCCUACGGGAGGCAGCAGUAGGGAAUUUUCCACAAUGGACGAAAGUCUGAUGGAGCAACGCCGCGUGCAGGAUGAAGGGCCUUCGGGUUGUAACUAGCUUUAUCUGUGACGAUUAUG